rnacentral:pre_miRNA from 2 species
UCUUAUGGAUGAGCAGAGAAUGGUUUCUUGUGAUGGAACCUAUUCUCGAUGAAGAUGCUGUGAA